CGCACUACAGGACAGAAUGCAGAGCCUUUUUAUAGGUUCAGUCGAACGAAAACUCACGCCAGGCGAGAAAGGUUGUCUGAAAAAUCGAUUAGUGUGCACUAAAUAGCUUCGCAAAAUAGUAGAUCACUGAAAGAGAACUCAGCCCGGAUUGUGCGAUCUGAUCAAUCGCCAAACAUCACAAAUCACCAACCGGACUGAGCGAUGCCGAUCAUAGCAGCAAUUCCUGAUGAAGAACGACAACUGAUGCGCAAAGAGGCCCAACAAACCCACGAUAAAAACCAUGCGCGACGGCUUAUCGCCAUGCUGAUGCUGCAUCAGGGAAUGACCGUCACUGACGUUGCCAGAUUACUCUGUGCCGCCCGUUCAUCCGUUGGUCGAUGGAUAAACUGGUUUACUUUACAUGGUGUUGAAGGACUAAAAAGCCUCAGACCCGGACGUGCUCCACGCUGGCCGGUCGCUGAUAUCCUUCAGCUCUUGCCACUAUUGGUACAGCGUUCCCCGAAGGAUUUUGGCUGGCUGCGCUCACGCUGGAGCACGGAGCUUCUGGCACUCGUCAUCAACCGACUUUUUGAUGUGACGCUGCACCGCUCCACCCUGCACCGAUAUCUGAGGCAGGCAGAUAUGGUCUGGCGCGGGGCAGCGCCAACGCUGAAAAUCAAAGAUCCGCACUAUGAAGAAAAACGGCUUGUCAUUGAUCAGGCGCUGGCUCAGGAGCAGACUGCACAUCCUGUGUUUUAUCAGGAUGAAGUCGAC
rnacentral:misc_RNA from 1 species